UACGUAGGAGGCAAGCGUUGUCCGGAAUUACUGGGCGUAAAGUGUGCGCAGGCGGCCGCGCAAGUCGAGUGUGAAAUCCCCGAGCUUAACUUGGGAAUUGCGCUCGAAACUACGUGGCUGGAGUGUGGCAGAGGGAGGUGGAAUUCCUGGUGUAGCGGUGAAAUGCGCAGAUAUCAGGAAGAACACCAAUGGCGAAGGCAGCUCUCUGGGACGGUACUGACGCUGAGACGCGAAAGCGUGGGGAGCGAACAGG
rnacentral:rRNA from 1 species